CCUACGGGAGGCUGCAGUGGGGAAUAUUGCACAAUGGGCGCAAGCCUGAUGCAGCCAUGCCGCGUGUGUGAAGAAGGCCUUCGGGUUGUAAAGCACUUUCAGCGGGGAGGAAGGCGGUGAGGUUAAUAACCUUAUCGAUUGACGUUACCCGCAGAAGAAGCACCGGCUAACUCCGUGCCAGCAGCCGCGGUAAUACGGAGGGUGCAAGCGUUAAUCGGAAUUACUGGGCGUAAAGCGCACGCAGGCGGUCUGUCAAGUCGGAUGUGAAAUCCCCGGGCUCAACCUGGGAACUGCAUUCGAAACUGGCAGGCUAGAGUCUUGUAGAGGGGGGUAGAAUUCCAGGUGUAGCGGUGAAAUGCGUAGAGAUCUGGAGGAAUACCGGUGGCGAAGGCGGCCCCCUGGACAAAGACUGACGCUCAGGUGCGAAAGCGUGGGGAGCAAACAGGAUUAGAUACCCGAGUAGUC
rnacentral:rRNA from 1 species